GGCAGUCUCACGUCACUUUUUUAAAAGCUGCUCAUGAGGAACAGGUUCAGCCUCAGCCAGAGGACAAUUAAUUUGGAUGAAGGAAGACUUCAGAACUAUCAUGCCUGUUUUUGCUCACUUCCUAGAAGAAGCGAGGGGACGUUGGACUGCUGCCGAAUUAUGUCUAUGGCUGAUUCAAAGGUUCUAAGGAAAGAUGGCCAGCAGGAAUGAUCAUCAUCCAUUUAUAGACAAGUCAAUGUGGAAGCUCAAAACAGUUCCAUUUGUUUUGAGGAAAAGCUUCGAGAAGCCUUUCUCUUCUGUAUAAAUUCUCCCCGAAUCUCAGGUCUUCAGAAACCGAGAUUAUACAUUUACCAAGGAAGAAAAGUCCGUGUGUUACUAAUU
rnacentral:lncRNA from 1 species